GAGUNUAUCCUGGCUCAGGAUGAACGCUGGCGGCGUGCUUAACACAUGCAAGUCGAACGAUGAUCCGGUGCUUGCGCCGGGGAUUAGUGGCGAACGGGUGAGUAACACGUGAGUAACCUGCCCUUGACUCUGGGAUAAGCCUGGGAAACUGGGUCUAAUACCGGAUAUGACUCCUCAUCGCAUGGUGGGGGGUGGAAAGCUUUUUGUGGUUUUGGAUGGACUCGCGGCCUAUCAGCUUGUUGGUGGGGUAAUGGCCUACCAAGGCGACGACGGGUAGCCGGCCUGAGAGGGUGACCGGCCACACUGGGACUGAGACACGGCCCAGACUCCUACGGGAGGCAGCAGUGGGGAAUAUUGCACAAUGGGCGAAAGCCUGAUGCAGCGACGCCGCGUGAGGGAUGACGGCCUUCGGGUUGUAAACCUCUUUCAGUAGGGAAGAAGCCCUCUUUGGGGGUGACGGUACUUGCAGAAGAAGCGCCGGCUAACUACGUGCCAGCAGCCGCGGUAAUACGUAGGGCGCAAGCGUUAUCCGGAAUUAUUGGGCGUAAAGAGCUCGUAGGCGGUUUGUCGCGUCUGCUGUGAAAGACCGGGGCUCAACUCCGGUUCUGCAGUGGGUACGGGCAGACUAGAGUGCAGUAGGGGAGACUGGAAUUCCUGGUGUAGCGGUGAAAUGCGCAGAUAUCAGGAGGAACACCGAUGGCGAAGGCAGGUNUCUGGGCUGU
rnacentral:rRNA from 1 species